AUCGUUAUUUUAGAAAAAAGUAUAAAAUAAGGUGUAAAGGUGAGUAAUGAUAAAUAAGAUACCUUAUAGUCCUUUUAAAUAGAGGAUACUUAUAUAAUAUAAAUUAUAUUGGCAUAAUAUAGCUUAAUUAUGAAGAAAGGAAUUUUUCUACUAUAAGAGUCGAUUUAU
rnacentral:rRNA from 1 species